rnacentral:lncRNA from 1 species
AGUGUUCAGGCAUAGUUCAGCCCUGGCUCACACGUGACGCAGGUGUGCCACAGAACUGGCUCCCAUGAGGCUGACACAUGAUACAGGCUUUAGUCACACAUGGCUCACACAUGGUUCAGGUGUAGCUCAUGCAUAUAUGUGGUGUUGGACAGGUGUGGCUCACAUGUGAUUUUUGGAUGUGUGGCACAUGGUUCAGGCAUGGCACGCAAGUUGUGCCAGUGUGGCUGACACGUGCUUCAAGUGAGGCUGACCUGCGGUUCAAGAGUGACUAGCACUUGGUUCCGGCCUGACUGGCACGUGACUUGGUGCGGCUGAGGCUUGACACAGGUGUGGUUCACACGUUGUUCAGGCGUGGCUGACACGCAACUUAGGUGAGGUGGAAAUGUGACACAGGCGUGCCUCACACGUCAUGCAGGUGUGGUUCACACAUGGUUCAUGCAUGGCCUUCUUGUGAUUCAGGCGUGGCUGGUGCAUGGAGUACGCAUGGGUGGCAGGUGGCUCAGGCGUGGCUGAAAUGUGACUCCAGCAUGUAUGAAACAGGACUCCGGUGUGGCAGAUACGUGUGUCAGGCAUGGCUGACACGUGACUCAGGCAUUCAUCGCCCAGUAUCCAUGUGUGGAGGAAAGGUGAUCAUGCAGGAGUCACAUGCCAUACAUGGGUGGCUCCCAUGUGGCUACAGGUUGCUGAAACGUGGCUCCCACAUACUCAGUAAUGACUGCCACGUGGCUCACGCAUGGCUCAGCUGUGUCUCAUGGGUGGCUCCCCUCUGGUUCAUGCAUGGUUCAAGUAUGGAACAUGUGUGUUUCACAGGUUCUUCAGAUGUGGUUCAAGGGUGUCUCCCAUGUGGUUCCUGCAUGGCUCACACAUGGUUCAGGUGUAAUUCAGGCGUGGAUCUCACACGACUCAUGUGGGUCACAUAUGGUUGUGGACACUCUCACAUGUGGUUCAGGCAUAGCUCAGCCAUGGCUCACAUGUGACGCAGACGUGCCACAGAGCUGGUUCACAUGUGGCUGAUACAUGCUACAGGCUUUGGUCACACAUGGCUCACACAUGGUUCAGGUGUGGCUCAUGCAGGUCUGUGGUGUUGGUCAGGUGUGGCUCACAUGUGUUUUUGGCAUGGAUGGCACGUGGUUCAGGCAUGGCAGGCAAGUUGUGCCAGUGUGGCUGACACGUGCUUCAAGUGAGGCUGACCUGUGGUUUAAGUGUGACUGACACUUGGUUCAAGCCUGGCAGGCCCGUGACUUGGUGUGGCUAAGCCUUGACACAGGCGUGGUUCACACUUUGUUCAGGUGUGCCAUCACAUGACUCAGGGGAGGUGGAAACGUGACACAGGUGUGCCUGACACAUCACACAGGUGUGGUUCACACAUGUAUCAUGCAUGGCCUUUGUGUGGUUCAAGGGUGGCUGAUGGAUGGUGCACGCAUGGGUGGCAG